rnacentral:rRNA from 1 species
UACGUAGGGGGCUAGCGUUGUCCGGAAUCAUUGGGCGUAAAGAGCGUGUAGGCGGCUCGGUAAGUCCGCUGUGAAAGUCCAGGGCUCAACCCUGGAAUGCCAGUGGAAACUGUCGAGCUAGAGUCCGGAAGAGGCGAGUGGAAUUCCUGGUGUAGCGGUGAAAUGCGCAGAUAUCAGGAGGAACACCAAUGGCGAAGGCAGCUCGCUGGGACGGUACUGACGCUGAGACGCGAAAGCGUGGGGAGCAAACAGGAUAGAAACCCCAGAGCCAG